rnacentral:rRNA from 1 species
UACGUAGGCGGAAGAUUAAGUCAGUGGUGAAAUCCUGCAGCUUAACUGUAGAACUGUCAUUGAUACUGGUUUUCUUGAAUUUAGGUGAGGUAGGCGGAAUGUGUAAUGUAGCGGUGAAAUGCUUAGAUAUUACACAGAACACCGAUUGCGAAGGCAGCUUACUAAACUAUGAUUGACGCUGAGGUACGAAAGCGUGGGGAGCGAACAGGAUUAGAUACCCUGGUAGUCC